AAAUUCUCAAUUCCUUAGGUUUAUGUGCUUUUACUUCUUUUAUUUGAUUAAAAUUGCUGUCAUGACCUCUCUCUGCAGAGGGCUGCAUCAUUUUGGUCAUUCUCAAGUGAUCUCUUUGAGCAAUUUAAGAAUUGCCAUAAGAUUCUAACCUCUGCUGUAACUAUGGUUGUGUGUUCUUGGUUAGACCACUAAAUCUUAUUAGCAGUUUUAAAAAUUAUUCCUUUUGGUUUAGAAGUUAAGACUAAAUGCUGAAGUUUUUGUAACUUUUGGUUUUGAUAUCAUUUCAAACUUAAGAAAACAUUUGAAGAAAAGGACAAAGAAUUUCCACUUACCCUUUACCCAGGUUUACCAGUUAUUGAUAAGUAUAUCCAUUUGCUUUACCAGAAGGCUAACUUGUUUUAGUUCUCAUUUUCACCUUUGAGACAUUUGGAAUAAAUAUCAAUGUUAACAUAAA
rnacentral:lncRNA from 10 species